GUACUUACCCAGCAGGGGAGAGAGCAUGAACCCAAAAGUGGUUUCCCAGGGUGAGGCUUAUCCACUGACUCUAAAUGUACUGACCCUUGGAAUUUCCCCAAAUGUGGAAAACUUGACUGUAUAAUUUGUGGUGGUGGGGUACCCUAUUUGUGUGUUCCCUUA
ensembl:snRNA U1 U1 spliceosomal RNA